rnacentral:rRNA from 1 species
CCUACGGGUGGCAGCAGUGAGGAAUAUUGGUCAAUGGACGGGAGACUGAACCAGCCAAGCCGCGUGAGGGAUGAAGGUACAGAGUAUCGUAAACCUCUUUUGUCAGGGAACAAAGGCGGGGACGUGUCCCCGGAUGAGUGUACCUGAAGAAAAAGCAUCGGCUAACUCCGUGCCAGCAGCCGCGGUAAUACGGAGGAUGCGAGCGUUAUCCGGAUUUAUUGGGUUUAAAGGGUGCGCAGGCGGGCCGUUAAGUCAGCGGGCAAAGCCCGGGGCUCAACCCCGGAACCGCAAUUGAAACUGACAGUCUCGAGUUGGUGUGAGGUAUGCGGAAUGCGCGGUGUAGCGGUGAAAUGCAUAGAUAUCGCGCAGAACUCCGAUUGCGAAGGCAGCAUGCCGGCUCCACACUGACGCUGAGGCACGAAAGCGUGGGUAUCGAACAGGAUUAGAUACCCUUGUAGUC